rnacentral:rRNA from 1 species
UACGUAGGGGGCAAGCGUUGUCCGGAUUCAUUGGGCGUAAAGAGCGCGCAGGCGGUCGUUCAAGUCGCGUGUGAAAGCCCCCGGCUCAACUGGGGAGGGUCACGCGAUACUGAUCGACUCGAAGGCAGGAGAGGGUAGUGGAAUUCCCGGUGUAGUGGUGAAAUGCGUAGAUAUCGGGAGGAACACCAGUGGCGAAGGCGACUACCUGGCCUGUUUCUUGACGCUGAGGCGCGAAAGCUAGGGGAGCAAACGGG